rnacentral:rRNA from 1 species
GAUGAACGCUGGCGGCGUGUUUAACACAUGCAAGUCGAGCGAAGCACUUUUGCGGAUUUCUUCGGAUUGAAGCAACUGUGACUGAGCGGCGGACGGGUGAGUAACGCGUGGGUAACCUGCCUCAUACAGGGGGAUAACAGUUGGAAACGGCUGCUAAUACCGCAUAAGCGCACAGUACCGCAUGGUACCGUGUGAAAAACUCCGGUGGUAUGAGAUGGACCCGCGUCUGAUUAGCUAGUUGGUGGGGUAACGGCCUACCAAGGCGACGAUCAGUAGCCGACCUGAGAGGGUGACCGGCCACAUUGGGACUGAGACACGGCCCAAACUCCUACGGGAGGCAGCAGUGGGGAAUAUUGCACAAUGGGGGAAACCCUGAUGCAGCGACGCCGCGUGAGCGAUGAAGUAUUUCGGUAUGUAAAGCUCUAUCAGCAGGGAAGAAAAUGACGGUACCUGACUAAGAAGCCCCGGCUAACUACGUGCCAGCAGCCGCGGUAAUACGUAGGAGGCAAGCGUUAUCCGGAUUUACUGGGUGUAAAGGGAGCGUAGACGGCAUGGCAAGCCAGAUGUGAAAGCCCGGGGCUCAACCCCGGGACUGCAUUUGGAACUGUCAGGCUAGAGUGUCGGAGAGGUAAGCGGAAUUCCUAGUGUAGCGGUGAAAUGCGUAGAUAUUAGGAGGAACACCAGUGGCGAAGGCGGCUUACUGGACGAUGACUGACGUUGAGGCUCGAAAGCGUGNGGAGCAAACAGG